GCAUGUGCUGAUAUAGUAGUGAGGAUACAUUGGUUGUAUAUUAAAGUGUGUACACCAUUUGGCUUAAUGGAGAGCUAUGGCAAGAUGGUCUUCAAUAGAGGAACAAAUGUAGUGAUGGUCCCCCUGAUGACUGCUCCCUGACCCACCUGAGUCUUGCAGGAAAUCGACUGAUGGACGGUAGAGUGGCCACCCUCGCCAGGUGUUGGCCUGUCUGUCUCUCUGUGGUGUAUGUGGACCUGUCAGAGAAACAGGCAGGGACCUCAGUGGGACUCCACAGCCUCCUCUCCACCCAGCGACCUUUGACCUGUCUGAACCUCCAUGCAACCUCCCAACAUUUGGUGAUUGACUGAAGAAAUGGUCUAGCUGAGAAAUGAUUAAAUCGCUUUGAUCUGUCAUGUUCCCCCUAGUCUCUUCCCACAGCCACUGUAUCUCUGACACAACACUGGGGGUGGAGCUUCAUGAGUCUUUCAAGUGAAACAAUGUUCACACCCAACUGGUUGUGAGUUUUAAAUAAACACAGCUUCAC